rnacentral:rRNA from 1 species
AACGAACGCUGGCGGCAUGCCUAACACAUGCAAGUCGAACGAGACCUUCGGGUCUAGUGGCGCACGGGUGCGUAACGCGUGGGAACCUGCCCUUAGGUUCGGAAUAACUCCCCGAAAGGGGUGCUAAUACCGGAUAAUGUCUUCGGACCAAAGAUUUAUCGCCUUUGGAUGGGCCCGCGUUGGACUAGCUAGUUGGUAGGGUAAAAGCCUACCAAGGCGACGAUCCAUAGCUGGUCUGAGAGGAUGAUCAGCCACACUGGGACUGAGACACGGCCCAGACUCCUACGGGAGGCAGCAGUGGGGAAUAUUGGACAAUGGGCGAAAGCCUGAUCCAGCAAUGCCGCGUGAGUGAUGAAGGCCUUAGGGUUGUAAAGCUCUUUUACCCGGGAUGAUAAUGACAGUACCGGGAGAAUAAGCUCCGGCUAACUCCGU